UGAGGCUGGAGGUUAGGCCUCUGUCUGGUGGAGGUUAGGCCUCUGUCUGGUGGAGGUUAGGCCUCUGUCUGGUGGAGGUUAGGCCUCUGUCUGGUGGAGGUUAGGCCUCUGUCUGGUGGAGGUUGGUGAGGUGUAGAGCCUGGGCAUGAGGCUGGAGGUUAGGCCUCUGUCUGGUGGAGGUUAGGCCUCUGUCUGGUGGAGGUUAGGCCUCUGUCUGGUGGAGGUUGGGCCUCUGUCUGGUGGAGGUUGGGCCUCUGUCUGGUGGAGGUUGGGCCUCUGUCUGGUGGAGGUUGGGCCUCUGUCUGGUGGAGGUUGGUGAGGUGUAGAGUCUGGGCAGGAAGCUGGAGGUUAGGCCUCUGUCUGAUGGAGAAUGUUGUUCUCCUGUUAGACGACCCUAGUGGUCAGCUGGUCUCUCCUCCUGUUAGACGACCCUAGUGAUCAGUUAGACGACCCUAGUGAUCAGUUGGUCUCUCUUCUCCUGUUAGACGACCCUAGUGAUCAGUUGGUCUCUCUUCUCCUGUUAGACGACCCUAGUGAUCAGUUAGACGACCCUAGUGAUCAGUUGGUCUCUCUCCUCCUGUUAGACGACCCUAGUGAUCAGUUGGUCUCUCUUCUGUUAGAUGACCCUAGUGAUCAGUUGGUCUCUGUUCUCCAGUUAGACGACCCUAGUGAUCAGUUGGUCUCUCUUCUCCUGUUAGACGACCCUAGUGAUCAGUUGGUCUCUCUCCUCCUGUUAGACGACCCUAGUGAUCAGUUGGUCUCUCUCCUCCUGUUAGACGACCCUAGUGAUCAGUUGGUCUCUCU